CCUACGGGAGACAGCAGUGGGGAAUAUUGCACAAUGGGGGAAACCCUGAUGCAGCGACGCCGCGUGAGUGAAGAAGUAUUUCGGUACGUAAAGCUCUAUCAGCAGGGAAGAAAAUGACGGUACCUGACUAAGAAGCCCCGGCUAACUACGUGCCAGCAGCCGCGGUAAUACGUAGGGGGCAAGCGUUAUCCGGAUUUACUGGGUGUAAAGGGAGCGUAGACGGCAGCGCAAGUCUGGAGUGAAAUCCCAUGGCUUAACCAUGGAACUGCUUUGGAAACUGUGCAGCUAGAGUGCAGGAGAGGUAAGCGGAAUUCCUAGUGUAGCGGUGAAAUGCGUAGAUAUUAGGAGGAACACCAGUGGCGAAGGCGGCUUACUGGACUGUAACUGACGUUGAGGCUCGAAAGCGUGGGGAGCAAACAGGAUUAGAUACCCUUAGUA
rnacentral:rRNA from 1 species